rnacentral:rRNA from 1 species
UACGUAGGGUGCAAGCGUUGUCCGGAAUUAUUGGGCGUAAAGAGCUCGUAGGCGGUUUGUCGCGUCUGCUGUGAAAACUCAGGGCUUAACCCUGAGCCUGCAGUGGGUACGGGCAGACUAGAGUGUGGUAGGGGAGAUCGGAAUUCCUGGUGUAGCGGUGGAAUGCGCAGAUAUCUGGAGGAACACCGGUGGCGAAGGCGGCAUCCUGGACCAACACUGACGCUGAGGAGCGAAAGCCAGGGGAGCAAACGGG